AUUGAACGCUGGCGGCAUGCUUUACACAUGCAAGUCGAACGGUAACAAGUCUUCUGAUGCUGACGAGUGGCGAACGGGUGAGUAAUACAUCGGAACGUGCCUAGUAGUGGGGGAUAACUACUCGAAAGAGUAGCUAAUACCGCAUGAGAUCUACGGAUGAAAGCAGGGGACCUUCGGGCCUUGUGCUACUAGAGCGGCUGAUGGCAGAUUAUGUAGUUGGUGGGGUAAAGGCUUACCAAGCCUGCGAUCUGUAGCUGGACUGAGAGGACAACCAGCCACACUGGGACUGAGACACGGCCCAAACUCCUACCGGAGGCAGCACUGGGGAAUUUUGGACAAUGGGCGAAAGCCUGAUCCAGCAAUGCCGCGUGCAGGAUGAAGGCCCUCGGGUUGUAAACUGCUUUUGUACGGAACGAAAAGCCUGGGGCUAAUAUCCCCGGGUCAUGACGGUACCGUAAGAAUAAGCACCGGCUAACUACGUGCCAGCAGCCGCGGUAAUACGUAGGGUGCAAGCGUUAAUCGGAAUUACUGGGCGUAAAGCGUGCGCAGGCGGUUUUGUAAGACAGUGGUGAAAUCCCCGGGCUCAACCUGGGAACUGCCAUUGUGACUGCAAGGCUAGAGUGCGGCAGAGGGAGAUGGAAUUCCGCGUGUAGCAGUGAAAUGCGUAGAUAUGCGGAGGAACACCGAUGGCGAAGGCAAUCCCCUGGGCCUGCACUGACGCUCAUGCACGAAAGCGUGGGGAGCAACCAGGAUUAGAUACCCUGGUAGUCCACGCCCUAAACGAUGUCAACUGGUUGUUGGGUCUUAACUGACUCAGUAACGAAGCUAACGCGUGAAGUUGACCGCCUGGGGAGUACGGCCGCAAGGUUGAAACUCAAAGGAAUUGACGGGGACCCGCACAAGCGGUGGAUGAUGUGGUUUAAUUCGAUGCAACGCGAAAAACCUUACCCACCUUUGACAUGGCAGGAACUUACCAGAGAUGGUUUGGUGCUCGAAAGAGAACCUGCACACAGGUGCUGCAUGGCUGUCGUCAGCUCGUGUCGUGAGAUGUUGGGUUAAGUCCCGCAACGAGCGCAACCCUUGCCAUUAGUUGCUACAUUCAGUUGAGCACUCUAAUGGGACUGCCGGUGACAAACCGGAGGAAGGUGGGGAUGACGUCAAGUCCUCAUGGCCCUUAUAGGUGGGGCUACACACGUCAUACAAUGGCUGGUACAAAGGGUUGCCAACCCGCGAGGGGGAGCUAAUCCCAUAAAGCCAGUCGUAGUCCGGAUCGCAGUCUGCAACUCGACUGCGUGAAGUCGGAAUCGCUAGUAAUCGUGGAUCAGAAUGUCACGGUGAAUACGUUCCCGGGUCU
rnacentral:rRNA from 1 species